UUCUUUGCCUGUAUCACCCUGCAUGCUCCUGAUUUGGUCUGGUUUGGGACGCUAAGCAGGGCCAGGCAGAUUAGCACUUGGAUGGGAGAAAAAUGCCGCUCUGACAGAGAGCAACACGGACAGAGGAA
ensembl:rRNA 5S_rRNA 5S ribosomal RNA